rnacentral:lncRNA from 1 species
AGAAUUUCGAGUUGAGUUGGGUCGAAAGGACACAGAUUGAAUCAUGUGGAGCGCGCGGAUGUAGGGCUAGCGUUUAGUCAAAUAGGCCGAAUACAGGCGCUAUAAACUGGGUCGAUCGGUCACGUGCUGGAGUGAGGUGGGCGCGAAUCAGGUCAGGUUUUUGGGUCUCAAGGUUUCAUUUCCGGUUUGUCCAAUCAAAUUUUUUUCAUUUUUCGCUUCUGAUUGAUGCAAUUACACCAUAUUUUCAACCAUAAUGACUCUUAAAAAAUUACAUACCCUAAAUAAAAUUAAUUAGACCACAAAACUCAAACCUAUUGCAAUAAUUAUUAUAAAUUACACUUUAUUUAGGAUCAAAACCAUAAUCAAUUCAAACCACAGUUUAUCUAAUAAAUUAAAACACCCACCGUAUACAAUUGAGUAAAAUUAGCAUGCUCUAAACCAUAAUUUAUCUUAAUUUAUCUAAAAAAUUAAGGGAAGAUUAACCAUUAAAAAAAAGUUAGAUGUAAUUUUUGUAAAAAUUGAUUUCACCAUUUUACCGAAAUAUUGUAUAGUCUUAGUCAAUGCAACACAUAGCUCGUAUGCAUUGCUUCAUUUAGGCAAGAACUCCAGGAUGUGUUAAUCAACUGGAUUAGUAAUCCAAGAAAUACGUCCAAAUGUUCUCUUAAAAAAAUUGUCAUGCUUUUCAAUUCCAUUUAUGAUGAAUAGAAAUAAUGUAAUUAGGAGUAAGCGAUUGAUAUGUUAAAAUAAAAUUGUUUGGUUGUUUCUUAUUAUUAGAAAAUCCUGAGGUAAACAAAUGGUGUUUUUGAAUCGACAGGUUUAGCACUGCAUCCUAUUGACGGGAUAUUGCAACCAACACCUCAUUUGUUUGUUUUCUUUCUCAUUCCAACCCAUUUUACAACAUUUAUUGUGUUGCUAUUCCAAAAUUCACAAAGUAUCACAUUUUUUGUUUUUGUUUUCAAAAUUUGUUUACACUUUUUUUUUUAAAUUCGUAAAACUGUUUUUCUCAGUCAAUUUCGAUCAAAAUCGACCACCGAGAUUUCUCCAAAUUAUUAAAAUUUUCCAAGUUAUCGAUCGUUUUGGUAGAUUUUUGUUUUCCGGGUGUAUCUCGGUAGACUCUAGACAGAGAUUCUAUCAUUUUUCAAAUAUUUUCAUUUAAUUUUUUUUAUCUUUUCAAACAAGUUUUUCAAAAUUUUCCAAAUCUUACGCCAAACCUUAACUAAUUUUUUUAUCUUUUCAAAAAAAAAAUUAUGGACCUUAGUUCAUCCCGGACAAAAUUGUCACGAGAAAGCCUAAAAACUUUAUAAUAUCGGUUCAUCUCGAGCAAAACUGUGUCAAGAAAGCCUAAAACUUGAUAAUUUUGGACUUUCUCGACACAAAUUUUCUAGGAUGAACCGAGAUCAACCAAAUCUUUUUAGUUAACUCUCGUCAAAUUUUCUAUUAUAAACUUGCCAAAUUUUAUAUAAAAUUAUAGUUGUAAAUAAGAUUUUAUGAUGAUGUUGUUAACAUAAUUAGGGAACACAUAAAUUAGAAUAAAUGAUUUGAAAAAUUAUAUAAAAAAGAUUAGAUCUAGAGAAAAUUAGUUAAAGAUUCAGAUAAGGUUGAGAAAGCUUAUAAAAUAAAUUAGCAAUUUUCAAAUUUUAAAAAAUUCGAAUAAUAUUUUUAAAUUUGACAAAUAAAAAAAGUUAGUUGGAAACUAACGGUAUAAAGAGUUUUGGGAUGGAUUUUCAAAAAGUUGAAUUUUAGGGCAAAUUGGCUAGGAAAAGUCUAUAUUGUCACUAAGUUAAAAAAAACCCUUAAAAUCAACUUUUUACUAUUCUUUUCCUUUUCCUUCCUCAUUUUCGGCUUUCUUCUUCUCCCUUACUCUCUUCUACGGAGCAAAAUGCAGCAACUUCAACUGUUCUCCUUUUUUAGUUGUCGUCGUCGUCUCCUUCACUGUCACUGACUGUUUAAACCUCCAUGUGUGACAUGCAAGAUUCUGCGUCGAAGAUGCAUAGAGAAAUGUGUAUUGACCCCCUAUUUUUCUCCCUCUGAGCCUCUCAAGUUCACCAUUGCUCACCGUAUCUUCGGCACUAGCAACAUCAUCAAAUUGCUUCUGGUACUUCCUUAAUCCCUAAUUUUCUAUUUCUCAGGUUUUAUCUUUGUCGCCACGUGCCCGAGACGACGCGGAGCGGUCGACGUCCUCAAAAGAGUUAUUUUUAAAAGAAAAUAGGAGUCACCACCAAUCUUUUUUACGAUGUGAUUAGACACCAAAAUAAAGAAAAAAGUUUAAAAAUGGUCUGCGAAAAAUAGAGUUGAGUUCGGGAGUCAUUUGUGUGUGGGG